AGUCAUCGAAGAAAUCUUCGAAGAAGAGUAGUAGUAGUUUGUUAAGCGCAGGCUCCUUCGGAGCCGUUGAUGAUGGCGAUGAUGAUGAAGAUGAAUCAAAUAAAUCAGAGAAUGAUGAUCCUCCAGUAAUUGCUUUUACUGGGAAGAAGAAGUCAUCCAAAGGUAAUAAGAAAGGUGGAGUUUCGAGUUUUGAUGUUUUGGAUGAAGCAGAUGGAAUUGAUAGUACAAUUUCAGAGCAACAAUCUGUAGAUGAGGCUGAUGACGCUCCUGUAAUUUUUACUGGAAAGAAGAAGUCAUCCAAAGCGAAUAAAAAAGGUGGUGGCAAUGUAUUUGCGGCCUCUAGUUUUGAGGGACUUGGUGAAGGGGAUAAGGAUAGUGAUGAGAAGAAUGAAGAGGAUGAAGAUAUUGCUUCUAUUGCUUUUUCUGGCAAGAAAAAGUCUUCUAAUUCUUCCAAGAAGACUAGUAAUAUAUUUAGUGUUGCAUCGGAUGAUGAGGAUAAGGAUGAAGAUGUUUCUGUAUCAGAAGC
rnacentral:lncRNA from 1 species